rnacentral:tRNA from 1 species
GGGGCUGUAGCUCAGUGGUAGAGCGCUCACCUGCCAGGCGUGAAGCACUAGAUUCUAUUCUCAGCACCA